rnacentral:rRNA from 1 species
GAACUAAAGCUAGCCUAUUAUAAUAGUACUAUUAAAUAUAAUUAUAAAUUUAAUUAAAUCAUUUACUCUCAUAUAUUAGUAUAGGAGAUAGAAAAUUUAUAUAGCGCAAUAGAUAAAGUACCGUAAGGGAACGAUUGAAAGAUGAUUUAAAGUGAUAAAUAGCAAAGAUUAAAUCUUUUACCUUUUGCAUAAUGAUUUAGCCAGAAUAAAAUUAGCAAAGAGAACUUAAGCUAAUUACCCCGAAACCAGACGAGCUAUCUAACAACAACUUUAUGAGUCAACUCAUCUAUGUGACAAAAUAGUGAGAAGAUUGCUAGAUAGAGGUGAAAAGCCUAUCGAGCCUGGUGAUAGCUGGUUGUCCAAAUAAGAAUUUUAGUUCAACUUUAAAUUUACCUUCAUAAUAUUUAAUAAAAUGUAAAUUUAAAAUAUAAUUCUAAGAGGGACAGCUCUUAGAAUUAGGGAUACAACCCUAACCAGUGAAUAAUAAAUAUAAUCACCAUAGUAGGCCUAAAAGCAGCCAUCAAUUAAGAAAGCGUUAAAGCUCAACAAUUACAACAAAUUUAAUACCAAAAUUUUAUCUUCAAUUCCUGAUAUAAAAUUGGACUAAUCUAUUAAAUACAUAGAAGAAAUACUGCUAAUAUGAGUAACAAGAAACAUUUUUCUCCCAGCAUAAUUUUAUAUCAGAACGAAUAAUUCACUGAUAGUUAACAAUAUCUUAAUGGAUAAAUAUAUAAAUUAAAAAACCAUUAAUAAAUUUGUUAGCCCAACACAGGUAUGCACUCAGGAAAGAUUAAAUGAAUUAAAAGGAACUCGGCAAAUACAAGCCCCGCCUGUUUACCAAAAACAUCACCUCUAGCAUUAUUAGUAUUAGAGGCACUGCCUGCCCAGUGACACAGUUUAACGGCCGCGGUAUCCUGACCGUGCAAAGGUAGCAUAAUCACUUGUUCUUUAAUUAAGGACUUGCAUGAAUGGCCACACGAGGGCUUAACUGUCUCUUAAUUCAAAUCAGUGAAAUUGACUUUCCCGUGAAAAGGCGGGAAUGCUAAAAUAAGACGAGAAGACCCUAUGGAGCUUUAGUUUAAAUAUUAACUGUAAUAUAAUUAAACCUAAAGGUAUAAAUAUAACUUUAAUAAUAAUAUACUUUGGUUGGGGUGACCUCGGAGAACAAAAAACCCUCCGAAUGAUUUUUAUCUUAGACUUACAAGUCAAAGUUCAAUCACUUAUUGAUCCAGUAAUUUAACUGAUCAACGGAACAAGUUACCCUAGGGAUAACAGCGCAAUCCUAUUCAAGAGUUCAUAUCGACAAUUAGGGUUUACGACCUCGAUGUUGGAUCAGGACAUCCUAAUGGUGCAACAGCUAUUAAAGGUUCGUUUGUUCAACGAUUAAAGUCCUACGUGAUCUGAGUUCAGACCGGAGUAAUCCAGGUCGGUUUCUAUCUAUUAAAAGUCUCUCCCAGUACGAAAGGACCAGAGAAACAAGGCCAACUAAUAUACUAGAGCCUUAUAUCAAGUAUAGAUGAUAUAAUCUCAACCUAGAUUGAUAUAUAUAUAUUAGCCUUAUUUAAGCCCAAGAGAAGGGCUU